GGGCUCGUAGGGUAGCGGACAUCCUCGGGGGCUUCGGACCCCCGGACCCGGGUUCAACUCCCGGCGGGCCCG
rnacentral:tRNA from 1 species